CUCCUCUGCUUCUGGUCUCUCUCUCCCCCAAAAUAAAUCCUCUUAUUGCUGAGCCUUUAAGAUGCACCCAAAUCUUCACUGUGAUAAUCAGUGCCAUGAUGAAUAACCCUGCACAUAAAUACUUCAAGAUAAUCCUCAUUGGAUUAAAUUCCUAGAAGGAGGAAACAAAUCUUGAUUCUCAGAAGUAUUUCACACUUAAAACUCUUCAGCAACUAUCCCCACAGUAAGAGAGGCAAAAUAGAAUUCAAAAGGAAAAAUAAGCAAUGAACAGAAGACACGACUUUUCUUUCGUUUUUCUGAUCCAUUUAUUUAGGUUGUGAGAGCAAACUACAAUGAAGCUAUUCCUUCA